rnacentral:lncRNA from 10 species
CAGUGCACCAGUAUGGCACAUGUAUACAUAUGUAACUAACCUGCACAAUGUGCACAUGUACCCUAAAACUUAAAGUAUAAUUUAAAAAAAAAAAAAAAAGAGAUGGAGACCAUCCUGGCUAACACAGUGAAACCCCGUCUCUACUAAAAAUACAAAAAAAUUAGCCGGGCAUGGUGGCGGGCACCUGUAGUCCCAGCUACUCGGGAGGCUGAGGCAGGAGAAUGGCAUGAACCCAGGAGGCAGAGCUUGCAGUGAGCCGAGUUUGUGCCACUGCACUCCAGCCUGGGCAACAGAGCGAGACUCCGUCUCAAAAAAAAAAAAAAAAAUUAAUGAAGUACUGAUACAGGGUACAACAAGGAUGAAGCUUGAAAACAUGCUAAGAGAGAAAUCAGAAAGAAAAGAUCACAUUUCAUGAUUCAGUUUAACCAUUUCAAAGUGUAUAAUUCAGUGGCAUUAAUUACAUUUACAAUGUUGCACAAAUAAUACCAUCUCAUUCCAGAAUUUUUUUUAAUCCCAACCAUAAACCUCAUACCUAUUCUCCCUUCUUUCCAGGCCUUGGCAACUACAGAGUUUUUGGUGUGUUUUUGUUUUGCUUUUUUGAGAUGAUGAAAUGUUUUAAAAUUGAUUGUGGUGACAGUUGCACAACUCUGUAAACAUACUAAAAUCCAUUGAAUUGUGUACUUUAAAUUGGUGAAUUGUGUGGUAUAUGCAUUAAAUCUCAAUAAAGCUGUUACAAAAAAAAGAAAGAAAGAAACAUUGAGAAGAAUCCUCUGACAUUCCAGUCUCUCCCCUCAGCACAAGUUAGCAGGUGUCAACCACUAGAAAAAUUUGCAAACAUGGCAACAGCAAAACCCAAACCUAGCUCAACUCUGACUAGAUCAGCUCAAAAACCACAAAUAUCAAUAUACAUGAUAUUUGAAAUUCCAUCAAAAAACAGGUGAUACUCACACACACAAAAAUAUCCAUUAUCAAGAAAUAAAACACACAGAAGAACCAGACUGAAAGAAAAAGUGAAACCAUAAGAUGUUGGGGCCGGGCGCAGUGGCUCAUGCCUGUAAUCCUAGCACUUUGGUGGAUCACCUGAGGUCAUGAGUUCGAGACCAGCCUGAACAACAUGGUGAAACCCCGACUCUACUAAAAAUACAAAAUUAGCUGGGUAUGGUGGCGUGUGCCUGUAAUCCCAGCUACUUGGGAGGCUGAGGCAGGAGAAAAGCUUGAACCCACGAGGUGGAGGUUGCAGUGAGCCGAGAUCGCGCCAUUGCCCUCCAGCUUGGGUAACAAGAGCAAAACUCCGUCUCAAAAAAAAAAAGAUGUUAGAAGUGUAAGACAGAGGUUUUAAAAUAACUAUGAUUAGUAAGUGAAAGGAUUCAGUGGAAAAGACAGACAACCUGAAUGAACAGAUGGAGAAUUUUAGCAGAGAGAUGAAAACUAUAUUUUAAAAAAUGAGUCAAAUGAAGUGCUAGAAAUAAAAAAACAACAUAUCAAAGA